CGGUUGUCGACAAAUGUUAUUCAAAUAAAAUGGCCACAAUAUCAGAAGAAGAGUUUUCUAGACUCCAAAUGCAGUUGCUAGAGCUCCGUUCACAAAAUUAUGAAUUAAGUUCCAAAUUACAAAAAACAGAAUCAAAUUUUGCAGGAUUAAAUGAAAGAUGUUCAACACAAGAAAAAGAAAUUCAAAAACUGAAUAAAUUGCCAAAGUUUUCUGGUUUUCAGGGAUUAACGAAAAGCAAAUCGAAAAAGG
rnacentral:lncRNA from 1 species